GAUGAACACCUGGAAUGUUUCCAGUUUUUAUUAUAAUUAGAGCUGCUAGGAACAAUUUUGCAAACUUUUUGAAGAUAGAUAGUCUGACUGCUCACGACCUGUACAAGAAAACCAAAGUAGCAAGAGCAAGGUUGCAGUUUUGUUCCCCAGAGGACAUUUAACAAGGCCCGAGAAAAUUUUUGACUGUAAUAAUUUGGGACAAAGUGCUGCUAGCAUCUGCUUCCUAUUGUAUGAAAAGUGAAAUAUGAAGUGCUUUAAGAAAUCAUUGAUUGUACCAAAUAAAAAGACAGACAGAGAGGUUUUAUCUUGUUUCUGAAAAAUAAAUAAAGAGGCAAAGUCUUGGGAGAAGAGUUCAGUAAGCAUAAUACAAAUGACCCAAGACUACUCCAGACCUGCCAAGGCAGAUGAAGUAAAGGAGGGUGUAGCUGAAUCGCGA